rnacentral:rRNA from 1 species
UACGUAGGGCGCAAGCGUUGUCCGGAAUUAUUGGGCGUAAAGAGCUCGUAGGCGGCUUGUCACGUCGGUUGUGAAAGCCCGGGGCUUAACCCCGGGUCUGCAGUCGAUACGGGCAGGCUAGAGUGUGGUAGGGGAGAGCGGAAUUCCUGGUGUAGCGGUGAAAUGCGCAGAUAUCAGGAGGAACACCGGUGGCGAAGGCGGAUCUCUGGGCCAUUACUGACGCUGAGGAGCGAAAGCGUGGGGAGCGAACAGG